rnacentral:rRNA from 1 species
AGUGAACGCUGGCGGUAGGCCUAACACAUGCAAGUCGAACGGCAGCACAGUAAGAGCUUGCUCUUACGGGUGGCGAGUGGCGGACGGGUUAGGAAUACAUCGGAAUCUACUUUUUCGUGGGGGAUAACGUAGGGAAACUUACGCUAAUACCGCAUACGACCUACGGGUGAAAGCAGGGGAUCUUCGGACCUUGCGCGAUUGAAUGAGCCGAUGUCGGAUUAGCUAGUUGGCGGGGUAAAGGCCCACCAAGGCGACGAUCCGUAGCUGGUCUGAGAGGAUGAUCAGCCACACUGGAACUGGGACACGGUCCAGACUCCUACGGGAGGCAGCAGUGUGGAAUAUUGGACAAUGGGCGCAAGCCUGAUCCAGCCAUCCCGCGUGAGUGAAGAAGGCCUUCGGGUUGUAAAGCCCUUUUGUUGGGAAAGAAAAGCAGCAGGUUAAUACCCCGCUGUUCUGACGGUACCCAAAGAAUAAGCACCGGCUAACUUCGUG